UGCCAGCAGCCGCGGUAAUACCAGCACCCCGAGUGGUCGGGACGAUUAUUGGGCCUAAAGCAUCCGUAGCCGGCCUUACAAGUCCUCCGUUAAAUCCAGCUGCUUAACAGAUGGGCUGCGGAGGAUACUAUAAGACUAGGAGGCAGGAGAGGCAAGCGGUACUCAGUGGGUAGGGGUAAAAUCCGUUGAUCCAUUGAAGACCACCAGUGGCGAAGGCGGCUUGCCAGAAUGCGCUCGACGGUGAGGGAUGAAAGCUGGGGGAGCAAACCGGAUUAGAUA
rnacentral:rRNA from 1 species